rnacentral:rRNA from 1 species
CAGUCGCCGCGGUAAUACGGAGGGGGCUAGCGUUGUUCGGAAUUACUGGGCGUAAAGCGCACGUAGGCGGCUUUGUAAGUUAGAGGUGAAAGCCUGGAGCUCAACUCCAGAAUUGCCUUUAAGACUGCAUCGCUUGAAUCCAGGAGAGGUGAGUGGAAUUCCGAGUGUAGGGGUGAAAUUCGUAGAUAUUCGGAAGAACACCAGUGGCGAAGGCGGCUCACUGGACUGGUAUUGACGCUGAGGUGCGAAAGCGUGGGGAGCAAACAGGAUUAGAUACCCCGGUAGUCCCUGUCUCUUAUAC